AUUGAACGCUGGCGGCAGGCUUAACACAUGCAAGUCGAGCGAGCGGCGGACGGGUGAGUAAUGUCUGGGAAACUGCCUGAUGGAGGGGGAUAACUACUGGAAACGGUAGCUAAUACCGCAUACCAUCAGAUGUGCCCAGAUGGGAUUAGCUAGUAGGUGGGGUAAUGGCUCACCUAGGCGACGAUCCCUAGCUGGUCUGAGAGGAUGACCAGCCACACUGGGACGUCGACACGGUCCAGACUCCUACGGGAGGCAGCAGUGGGGAAUAUUGUGCAAUGGGCGCAAGCCUGAUGCAGCCCGGCCGCGUGUGUGAAGAAGGCCUUCGGGUUGUAAAGCACUUUUAGCGAGGAGUCGUUACUCGCAGAAGAGGCACCGGCGAACUCCGUGCCAGCAGCCGCGGUGAAUC
rnacentral:rRNA from 1 species